GUCAUAUUGAAUUUGUUGGAACUUUGAGUAGAAAAUGUUUUGUAUUUGUACAACGCAUUGUGAAAUCGCUUUUAAACGUUUUUUUUUUUUAAAACAGUGUCGUUAUUCCGCAACUUACCAAUCAAAACCAUAAUCCACCAAUGGAUGAUCCUAUCUUUAUGUACAUAAGUAGACACAUCUGCUGGAAUUAAUGAUAAUUUAUAUAAAAUAAUGUGAAGCCUACUACCAUUGUAUGAAAAAUGUAAGCCACUAAGUUUUCAUACGUUUAGUUUUAAACUAGCAGAUGAUUUGUCUGGGAAUCUAACCAGUAUAGAAGAUCCAAAAAUAAUAAUGUUUAUAUGAAAGUGUAUAAAAUUAUGGUUCCAGCACGUUCAAAUUCUAUAUUAUACCUGUCUAGAAAAUUUAUAUAUAUAAAGAAGUGUUUCCUUCAGUCCAGAACGCGCCACCUCGGUCAGAAAGUCAUGCUCUGAAAAAGUGAUACGUGUUUCAGGAAGACAAAACACAUUCUCUCCCCUUCAUUCGACGGCGUUGACGCCUGAGAUUCUUCAGAUUAUCUGAAACGGUCCGAUUUAAGGCUUUCGUGUUAAAUCUCAUUGAUUCAGUCGCUCACGAUGAGUUCUGCGAGACGGUGUGUGUUAGGUAUAAAUAUGUGAACAUAAGGGCGAUCAAGCUUCCAUGCGUUCAUGAUAUUUUGAGAUGCAAUCAACUCAAGCUUUAAACCAGGUCUUCGUGGCUUCAUCAAAACAUGAAUCUAAGAAGGCUCCGUACAAUGAUUUUGAGGGUCCCGGUUUCAAUCCCUAAUACCGUUUAAGAAUCAGUUGACUGGAAGCGGCAGUACCUAAAGUCUGGGUAGAUCGAGUUUCAAGGUCAACAAGAUUUGGUUUCCUAAAGUUUCUGGUGUUGUUUCUGUCAUCCUGAUGUGAUAACUUCUAAUUGUUCUGAGCAGUGUUGGCAAGGGGAUAAAGCUUUAAGAUUAAAUGAGUGCAUUGUUAAGGCUCCCUUAUCUCAGUAAAUUCAUCGCUCAAAAGAUUGCGUUGCAGGUUAGAUCAUUCCGAGAAUUUCAAGAGCUUCACUUGGAAGAACGUCUUCAACUCCUCCGGGGGUUGCUGGUUUGUCGGAGAGCAAUGUUGUAGACAUCGAGAAGGUGUAUAGAAAUGAUACCUUCUUUGAAAGUAGGAGUCACGUGCAAAACAGAAGGUGAUAGUUCAAGCUUGGAUCACUCUAAAACUUUUCAAUUGACUCUUAGGCGCUAUUCCUCCCUCUCCUUACCACAAAGAGAAAGGCUUAUGGGCUCUUCUUGCGGAUUCAAACAAUGUAUGGCUCUUUCAAAAGGUUAGUUUCAUGGAUGGAGCUGAAGCUAUACUCUUCUUCAACUGAUGUUUGUUAGACAUUGAAAAGUUUAGGAGCAAGCGUCGAGGCAAAGAACAAUGAAGUUAGAGAAGGUUAAAAGCCGAUCAAGAUUGGAAAUGGGGAAACGCUAAAAACUUGCAGAAAAUACUAAUAAUUUGACUUGCUUAUGAGUUUGGCGUAAGAGAUGCUUGGAUCAGUUGUGAUCAAAAGACAUUACUUGAGGUUUUGAAAAGAACCAGUGAUUUGGAGGGUGAGGUUACAGAAGAAGGCAUGGAGGAGGAAGAAGAAAAUGAGAAUGAAGAGAAUUAUGAAAGCAAAUAUAGCGAGGAAGAGGAAGAUAAGAAGAAAGGAUCAAAGAGAGUAAAAAAGAUGGGAUCAGAUGAAGAUUGAAAAACAAAAAGGCGUCAAACCUGCACUGUGUAGGUUUUUGCCUCCAAAAUUUACAGUGAUACUCAAUGACUUUAGCAUGUUAUUUGUUCUUCCGCUGAUUUCGUAGACGUUUUGGAUUUUGAUGGUUUUGGACUUUUGUUAACUCUUUAAUUUAUGUCUUGAUCCGACUCUUCUAAGCUUUACUGUAAAAUAAGUUAAUGCUUCCUGUUUCGGUUAUUUACCUGGCUUUGGAUGUGUUUUAAAGGUUUUACUGGGUACAAAGGCUGUUAUGAGAACUUAUGGUUUUGUCGCUGUUUAUCAAAUACACCAGAUCUAGAAAUAAUAUAAUUUGGUAAGGUGAACAUAACCCUUAUACAAGCAACUAUACAAUAGAGAAAAAAAUAUAACAAAAAUGAAACAGAUCCACAUUUGCGCGGUUGAAAUAUAAACACCUACUUUCACAUAUUAUUGAACAUCAAAAACGAAAAACAUGUUGGUGACGAGUCACGAGCAAAAAAAAAAAAUUGAUAACAAACAUAAAUCCCAAUAUAUUUAAAGAUUUAAUAACCCACGUUAGUUAACCAUCUAAUCUAAUACUCUUUCCAUUUCAAAAAUAUAUAUGGUUUAGAACUUUUACCACUAUUAAGAAAACAUACGAAAUUUUGAUUAUCAAUAGAUUAAUUUCUAAACUAACUAUUCUUCGUAAUUUUUAACCAAUAAAAUUUUAAUAAAAAACAUUUAUAUUUUUUGAAUUUACAAUUAACCAUUAAGUAAUGAAUUGAAAAUGUAAAAAAAUAUAUUUUUAAAACCAUUUUUUUCUCUAUAAUGUGGAUUUUCGAUACAAAAGGAAGUAUAAUAUAUGUUAACUAAAUAUCAUAAUAUUUGUACUAUUAAGUUAAAUUAAAAACAAUUUGUAGAAAUUAAAUAAUUUUCAUAUUUUGUAAGUAAUUUUAUAAUAUAAUCAAAUAUUAAUUAUAAACUGAGGGCGCCACGUCAGCAAGAGCAUGCGAAUGUAAAUUGUGAAUGAUGUAGUUGUGAUGAUAUAAUUGUAUUAUUAUUAUUUUUUAAACAAAAACUUAGGUCAGAAAUGGAAUCUUCAUAGUAAAGUAGCCAAAUGUGCAUGCUAAAUAUUUAAAGAGGUAAUUGUAGAAGUUUUAUGUUAUAAAAUAUACAGAGAUGAUAGUAUAUAAAAGUUCACAAAGAACUUAAUAAUUUAUUUUGGCGCUGAACACGUAGAAGUUCUAAGACGGACCACUGUCCAGGAUUCUCUUUAAACAUACGAUUAAAUUUUAACUAAUGCGUUUUUCUUUACUUUUUUUAAUUGUAACAUAGAGAAUUUAAAAUAUCCUAAAACCGUUCAAUUCAUUUCAGAUCGAUGACUGUAAAAGUCAGUGUAUGAGAGAUUAAAUAAGAAAAUUUUUACUUAUUCUAUACAAGAAUUAAUAUUAGGAAAACAAACAAACAAAUUUGACAUUGAAACAAAACCGCUAUAAGGACUAAUACAUCUUCACAUAUGCAAACAACAAUUGUGGUAAAGAUAACAAUAUCUAUGCCAUAAUUUUGCUAUGAACAUGAGAAUAUGAAGAAUCCAUGAAAUUUAUAUAUUGUCAUGAACGGCAAACCGACAUGUCUCGAGCAGACAAAUGUUGGAGAUAGAUUAAAUGUUCCUUACGUGGCGUCUCUAUAUUGAAAAGAAAUGUUAUAGAACUAAUAUGAUCUUUAUAAUUUUGAGUGUCAAUGUUUUCUUAUUUUGAUUAACUUUGCUUUAUUACCCUUUUUCGAUUCAAUAUAACAUUCUACUUUUAAUAAAAAAAAUGCAACUUCAAAUAAUCACCACUUCCACUCAUUUAGCAUGUCGAAAGAUUAUGAUUUCAACAUAAAGAGUAAUUAUUCUUAUAACAUGCACAAAAUAGUUAUCCACAACCCAAUCAUUCCAAACCCGAAAUAUUACAAACCACAAUGCACCGAAUAUGAGAUCAAAGUUUUGUAAAAGAAAACAACAUAAAAACCAUUUGAAGCCCUCACAACAUAUCAAUGCCACAACUCUUAAACAACUAUUGUAAACAAGCAAAAUAUAUCUUAUCAUAUUUAAUCCCUCCUCACGUAAAAAUUUCUAACAGACAAAAAUCAUUAUCAUAUCUAUCACUUACAAAUGCAAACCUAAAACAUAAACCAUAAAAUCAUACAAAAAUAAUAAUCUAGAUCGCAAGUAAAGUAUAUUCCGUCCGUAGGACGGGACGAAACUAGUUAAAAAAUAUUGUUAUUUGUUUUAUCUAAAAUUAUGCUUCCAGCACGUCAUCGCCACGUAGAUAAGUCGAAGGCUCCUGUCUUGACACGUGUCUCACCUCCUCGAAACGCAACACUUCGUUAACUCUCGGAAAUUCGGUUAGUUGGGCUUUGAUAGAAACAAUUGCUUUGGACUUAAAAGGAUAAGUCAAGUGGACUUGUAAUACAAUUAUCGGGUCCCAUUAUAAUUGUCUUCACCUUCACAAUUUUGACGAAGAAAAGCAGUCAUGGGUUUCCGCCAUUGUUGAGCUCAUGUUUGUCAAACGGAAUAUGGAGCUCCAGCUGGGUUAAGAGGGAAAAUCAUUUCCGGCGAAUCUCUGGUGGAAGGCUCCGUUGUGUCGAUUCAGUGUAGUGGUCAGUGGCUGGAGAGCUGGAGAGGCGGAGAGGAGAUACUUCUUCAAAUAGUUUUUUUUAUGAUGACAAUUGUUAGGGUCAUGGCAUUAACCAAAUUUAGC